rnacentral:lncRNA from 1 species
CAACUUUCUCUCUCAUUAAAUCCACCUUCACUAAACCCACCUCUAAUUCCAAGUCCUCACCGUUUCUCCUCAACAACACUCCUUCUUCACCCACACUUCCAAGGUAACUCCAUUUCCUGUUAUCCAUUCAUUUUCAUCUUUCCACAUAUAAAGUCAUCUUUUUUCUUUCACCCAAUUGAAUUUAAUUGUUGUCCAUCUUAUCAGAUUGUUGUAAAUGUUGUUAUUUUUGUGUGUUUCAAGUCCAUUGCUCAAUUGGGUUGUGUUCAAUCACUGCUUCCAUUGCACAAUUGUCGGGUUUACCUGAAACCUGAUGGGUUUGGGGAUGAUAUUCUUAUUUUCAACCCCGUUGAGUUUGGAUUCAGAUUUGGAUUUUACAUUUCAGGUUCG